AGAGUUUGAUCCUGGCUCAGGAUGAACGCUGGCGGCGUGCCUAACACAUGCAAGUCGAACGGGAUCCAAUUUCGGUUGGUGAGAGUGGCGAACGGGUGAGUAACACGUAGAAGACCUGCCCUCAGGUGGGGGACAACUUGUGGAAACGCAAGCUAAUACCCCAUAAGCUCACGGUGGUUAGAGGGCUGUGAGAAAAGGUUAACUGCCUGAGGAUGGUUCUGCGGUCCAUCAGCUAGUUGGUGAGGUAACGGCUCACCAAGGCGACGACGGAUAGGGGGCCUGAGAGGGUGACCCCCCACACUGGGACUGAGACACGGCCCAGACUCCUACGGGAGGCAGCAGUGAGGAAUAUUGCACAAUGGGCGCAAGCCUGAUGCAGCAACGCCGCGUGGGUGAAGAAGGUUUUCGGAUCGUAAAGCCCUUUUCUGUGUGACGAGGAAGGACGGUAGCACAGGAAUAAG
rnacentral:rRNA from 1 species